UGUGGCGGGGGGCCUAACACAUGCAAGUCGAACGAGAAAGUGGAGCAAUCCAUGAGUAAAGUGGCGACCGGGUGAGUCACUCGUGACUAACCUACCUCCGAGUGGGGAAUAACUCCGGGAAACCGGGGCUAAUACCGCAUAACAUCGCAAGAUCAAAGCAGCAAUGCGCUUGGAGAGGGGGUCGCGGCUGAUUAGCUAGUUGGCGGGGUAACGGCCCACCAAGGCGAAGAUCGGUAUCCGGCCUGAGAGGGCGCACGGACACACUGGAACUGAAACACGGUCCAGACUCCUACGGGAGGCAGCAGUGGGGAAUUUUGCGCAAUGGGGGAAACCCUGACGCAGCAACGCCGCGUGGAGGAUGAAGCCCUUUGGGGCGUAAACUCCUUUCGACUCGGACGAUAAUGACGGUACGAGUGGAAGAAGCACCGGCUAACUCUGUGCCAGCAGCCGCGGUAAUACAGAGGGUGCGAGCGUUGUUCG
rnacentral:rRNA from 1 species